CUCAAAAGUUGCGGAUUUCCCGAGGGGCGGGACAGUAGUAAAAAAUUAAAUAAAUUAAUUAAUUAACUGCCGAAAUUAACGAAUUAACUUUUGUUUACGAUCGGAACAUCGCCACCUCUCUUUAUACUACAUUGGUUUGACAGUUUGAGAUCGAUCGCGUGUUUGUUGUUGUUGUGUUUGGAAAUGUUUUGUCGCGAAAAGAAGGCAACAAAAGCAAAAAAACAUCCGUUAGGCACAGGCAAACCAAAAAAGAGCCACCAGCAAUGCGUAGCUUCCUCCUGGACGAUACCGGAGGCACCUCAUCUAGACAAGCUGGCCCGGCAGGAUGAUCCAACGCAGAGGAUUAAAUUUCGGUGAGAACCCCACCACUCGCCUGCUACUCGUUCCAGGUGCGCCGGAGCCUGCAGCUGAUGCUGCAAUCUUUGAAGCGGGCUCUCAACAUCGACGCCAACAAACCAUCGCAUCCAGUAAAAUCAACGAAAGCGACAAACUGGUGAUCCACCGCGAUUCAAACUAUUCCGCGGAGCAAAGUCGGCGGGUGGAUUAGGCGAUAACUGGGAGAGGCGUUGGAGAUUUUGAAGGAAAAUGCUCUUCCGUCGAGACUCCCGCCAAGCAGCUGAAAAGGUCGGCCCGCUGUCGGUCGUGCCAAAUCCACGACAUCCGUUAGUAUUACCCGGGGAAAAGCAACCGACGACAAAGCAACAUUUGGACUUUUCUCGUGAUCCAGAAGCGGCGCAUCUGUCCUCGUCCCAGUGUCAAGCUGUACCACUCGGAGAUUCGGGUGUUUUUAUGUGCGUAGUGCAACCAACGAACUUUUUCUUUUAUUCGAUCGAUAGUCUGGGCCAAUAACUUCAGCGAUCUGUAUACGAUUGGAGUGAUCGAGAGUAACAACAUCUGAUGCUACAGUGUGACUGUUUUCUUUUCAGUUAAUAAAAAAACUUUCUGAUUUUUUAAA